UACGUAGGGGGCAAGCGUUGUCCGGAUUUAUUGGGCGUAAAGAGCGUGUAGGCGGCCAGGUAGGUCCGUUGUGAAAACUCGAGGCUCAACCUCGAGACGCCGAUGGAAACCAUCUGGCUAGAGUCCGGAAGAGGAGAGUGGAAUUCCCGGUGUAGCGGUGAAAUGCGCAGAUAUCGGGAAGAACACCCGUGGCGAAGGCGGCUCUCUAGUACGGUACUGACGCUGAGGCGCGAAAGCGUGGGGAGCAAACAGG
rnacentral:rRNA from 1 species